UUUUAUUUCAAUGUGUGAGAGAGGGUCCUCCUGGAGACUCUGCUCUCUUUUCCUUUUAUUAUUUUUCGUUUUUUCUUACUGAGAGAGUGAUGAUGAAAGCAAUUGAGUGGGUAGGUGAGAAUGAGUGAGAGAGUUUUCCUAUCAUGUGUGUUUCUUUGGCUUUUGUUUUUGGUGAUGUGUCAAAGGGUCAUUGGUUGAGAAGGAUAAUUGAGGAUAAGGAUCCAUGUGUUUUUC
rnacentral:lncRNA from 1 species